AUGCAAAAUUGCAGGAGAGAAAGGGAAGUUCACAUCUUGGAAGAAAAACUUAAAUCAGUGAAAAGUUCACAAUCAGAAACAUUAAUAGUACCCAGAUCAGCAAAAAAUCUGGCAGCAUGUACUGACCAAGAAAAAGCAGAGUCCCAAGACUGUGUGCAGAAGAUGUAUGAAGAAGAAAUCAGUGUUUAACAAAGAAAUUUAACUGAAAAAGAAAAGCUAUUGCAGAUGCUGGAGCAAGAAAAAGAAGAGAGACUUUCUUCUCAUUCUGAAAUGCAAUGCCAAUACCAGGAGCUCUUAAUAAAGCUAGAACAUGGUGAAGCAAAGCAAGGUGAAGAUCAAGUUAUGAUAGAUCAUCUUCAAGAAGAACUUGAAGAAAAAAGCAAGAAAUAUUCCUUGAUAGUAUCCCAACAUGUGGAAGAAGGGGGAGGUAAAAAUAACACAGAGGCAAAGCAAAACUUGGAAAAUGUGGUUGAUGAUGUUCAGAAAAUCCUCCAGGAGAAGGAACUAACCUGUCAGAUCUUGGAGCAAAAGAUAAAAGAGCUGGAUUCCUGCUUAUUAAGACAGAAAGAAGUGCAUAGAGUUGAAAUGGAAGAGGUGACCUCAAAAUACGAAAAAUUACAGGCUUUACAACAACAGAUGGAUGGAAAAAAUAAACCCACAGAACUUCUGGAGGAAAACACUGAAGAAAAAUCCAAAUCACAUUUGGUCCAAUCCAAAUUGUGUAGUAAUGUGGAAGACCAGCACAAUGACCUCGAAUUUAAAUUAGCAGGGGCAGAACAGGAGAAACAGAAACUGGGCAAGGAGAUUGUUAGAUUUCAAAAAGACCUUCGAAUGUUGAGAAAGGAGCAUCAGCAAGAAUUGGAAAUUAGUACUAAAGAAAGAAUAUGAACAAGAAAGGGAAGAGAAAAAUUAAACAGGAGCAGGAAGAUCUUGAACUGAAACACAAUUCCACAUUAAAACAGCUGAUGAGGGAGUUUAAUACUCAGCUGGCACAAAAGGAACAAGAGCUGGAAAUGACCAUAAAAGAAACUAUCAAUAAUAAGGUCCAGGACGUAGAGGCUGAACUUUUAGAAAGCCAUCAAGAAGAGACAGAUCAGAUACUUAAAAAAAUUGCCGAGAGAGAUGAUGAUCUAAAAUGAACAGCCAAAAGAUAUGAAGAAAUUCUUGAUGCUCGUGAAGAAGAAAUGACUGCCAAAGUAAUGGACCUGCAGGUUCAACUUGAGGAGCUGCAGAAGUAAUAUCAGCAAAAGCUAGAGCAGGAGAACCCUGGCAAUGAUAAUGAAACAAUUAUGGAGCUACAGACACAGCUAGCACAGAAGACGACUUUAAUCAGUGAUUCGAAAUUGAAAGAGCAAGAGUUCCGAGAAAAGAUUCACAAUUUAGAAGACCGUUUGAAGAAAUAUGAAAAGAAUGUAUAUGCAACAACUGUGCGGACACCUUACAAACGUGGAAAUUUGUAUUAUACUGAUGUAUCACUCUUUGGAGAAUCUACCGAGUUUGAGUAUUUGCAAAAAGCGCUUUUUGAGUAUAUGAUGGGUCCUGAGAUUAACACCAUGGCAAAAGCUAUAACCACUGUACUGAAGUUCCCUGAUGAUCAGACUCAGAAAAUUCUGGAAAGAGAAGAUCCUCAGCUAAUGUCAUGGCUCCGCUCUUCAUCUUGAAGAAGAGCGCCACUGGGCGACUGCUGCUUGGAAACGUCCACAAUUGCUACUCUGCGAGCGAGAUUGUCAUUCCGGGCUCUUCAUGUAGCCAAAAGACCAGGAGAAAUCUGGCCCGCAGGUAUGUUGCAGAUGCCUCUAAAAUAGAUUUUAUCAGUGGAGAAAUGGUGAUUGAUUUUUCUUCAGUUUUCUGUUGGGAAGAGUUUUUUGUUGUUUAAAAUAAAUUUUGAAUGACUUAACCUGCUUUUAUGGGCUUACAUAAUAUUCCUUUCUUCCAUUCUU